rnacentral:antisense_RNA from 1 species
CGUUCUGGUGGCUGUGCGUGGGGCAUCUUCGGAUGCACUGGAUGCUUGCGUUUCCGGUCUGUCAACCCGCGUACAGCUGCCACCCAA